rnacentral:rRNA from 1 species
AUACGGAGGGUGCAAGCGUUAUUCGGAAUCACUGGGCGUAAAGGACGCGUAGGCGGGUUGGCAAGUCAGAUGUGAAAUCCUACAGCUUAACUGUAGAACUGCAUUUGAAACUGCUAACCUAGAGUAUGGGAGGGGGAGAUGGAAUUAGUGGUGUAGGGGUAAAAUCCGUAGAUAUCACUAGGAAUACCGAAAGCGAAGGCGAUCUCCAGGAACAUAACUGACGCUAAGGCGUAAAAGCGUGGGGAGCAAACAGGAUUAGAAACCCUAGUAGUCC